rnacentral:rRNA from 1 species
AUAGCUAAAUUAGGAAAGCACUUCACUUACACCGAAAAGUUAUCCGUGCAAAUCGGAUUAUUCUGACACUCAAAAGCUAGCUAUACGUAAUACACAACAAAUAAAUAUUAGCACCUAUUAAUAUACUAACAAAUGCAAUUAAAACAUUUUUCCCUCCUAGUAUAGGCGACAGAAAAGAGAAUUUAAGCUAUAGAACAAGUACCGCAAGGGAAUGCUGAAAGAGAAAUGAAACAACUCAGUAAAGUAACAUAAAGCAGAAAUGAAAACUCGUACCUUUUGCAUCAUGAUUUAGCAAGAAUUACUAAGCAAAAUGCUUUCUAGUUUAACUCCCCGAAACUUGGUGAGCUACUCCAAGACAGCCUGUCAAUAGGGCAAACACGUCUCUGUUGCAAAAGAGUGGGAGGAUCUUUGAGUAGUGGUGAUAGACCUACCGAACCUAGUUAUAGCUGGUUGCCUAAGAACUAAAUAAAAGUUUAGCCUCUUAUUUUCUAAAUUUAAUUAUGACCUUACAUUAAAAUAAUAACCAUAGAAUGUUAAAGAGUUACUCAUAAGGGGUUCAGCCCUUAUGAGAGAGGAUACAACCUUCUUAGAUGGUUAAUGAACACAUAUAUAAAGUUAGUGUUUUAGUGGGCUUAAAAGCAGCCAUCUAACAAAAAAGCGUUAAAGC